CCACGGGCCGCUGCAGUGGGGAAUAUUGCACAAUGGGGGAAACCCUGAUGCAGCAACGCCGCGUGGAGGAUGACGCAUUUCGGUGUGUAAACUCCUUUUAUAUAGGAAGAUAAUGACGGUACUAUAUGAAUAAGCACCGGCUAACUCCGUGCCAGCAGCCGCGGUAAUACGGAGGGUGCAAGCGUUACUCGGAAUCACUGGGCGUAAAGCGCGCGCAGGCGGCCCCUUAAGUUGGAUGUGAAAGCCUACGGCUUAACCGUAGAACUGCAUCCAAAACUGAGGGGCUAGAGUCUGGGAGGGGAAGAUGGAAUUAGUUGUGUAGGGGUAAAAUCCGUAGAGAUAACUAGGAAUACCAAAAGCGAAGGCGAUCUUCUGGAACAGUACUGACGCUGAGGCGCGAAAGCGUGGGGAGCAAACAGGAUUAGAUACCCUUGUAGUC
rnacentral:rRNA from 1 species